UUGGGAAUAUUGGACAAUGGGCGAAAGCCUGAUCCAGCCACGCCGCGUGAGUGAUGAAGGCCUUCGGGUCGUAAAGCUCUUUUAGUGGGGACGAAGGGCAACUUGACGGUACCCACAGAAAAAGCACCGGCUAACUCUGUGCCAGCAGCCGCGGUAAUACAGAGGGUGCAAGCGUUGCUCGGAAUUAUUGGGCGUAAAGCGCGUGUAGGCGGUUUCCUAAGUCUGGUGUGAAAUCCCGGGGCUUAACCCCGGAACUGCACUGGAUACUGGGAAGCUAGAGGACGAGAGAGGAUGGUGGAAUUCCUGGUGUAGGGGUGAAAUCCGUAGAUAUCAGGAGGAACAUCGGUGGCGAAGGCGGCCAUCUGGCUCGUUCCUGACGCUGAGACGCGAAAGCGUGGGUAGCAAACAGG
rnacentral:rRNA from 1 species